rnacentral:rRNA from 1 species
GGGGGGCGUGGUUCGGGAUUUACUGGGCGUAGGCGCGCGUAGGUGGUUCGAUAAGUCGGAGGUGAAAUCUCUCGGCUCAACCGAGAACCCGCGUCCGAUACUGUCGAACUUGAGUGCAGGAGAGGAGAGCGGAAUUCCCAGUGUAGCGGUGAAAUGCGUAGAUAUUGGGAGGAACACCGGUGGCGAAGGCGGCUCUCUGGACUGUUACUGACACUGAGGCGCGAAAGCUAGGGGAGCAAACGGGAUUAGAUACCCCGGUAGUCCUAGCCGUAAACGAUGGGCACUAGGUGUGGGAGGUAUCGACCCCUUCCGUGCCGCAGCUAACGCAUUAAGUGCCCCGCCUGGGGAGUACGGCCGCAAGGUUGAAACUCAAAGGAAUUGACGGGGGCCCGCACAAGCGGUGGAGCAUGUGGUCUAAUUCGACGCAACGCGAAGAACCUUACCAGGGCUUGACAUCCCGCGAAUCCCUCCGAAAGGUGGGAGUGCCCGCAAGGGAGCGCGGAGACAGGUGGUGCAUGGCUGUCGUCAGCUCGUGUCGUGAGAUGUUGGGUUAAGUCCCGCAACGAGCGCAACCCUCACUCCUUGUUGCCACCAGGUAAUGCUGGGAACUCUAGGGGAACUGCCCCGGUCAACGGGGAGGAAGGUGGGGAUGACGUCAAGUCAUCAUGCCCCUUACGUCCUGUGCUACACACGUGCUACAAUGGCCGGUACAAAGGGAUGCAAGACCGCGAGGUGGAGCUAAACCCAAAAAGCCGGUCUGAGUUCAGAUUGGAGUCUGCAACUCGACUCCAUGAAGGAGGAAUCGCUAGUAAUCGCGCAUCAGCACGGCGCGGUGAAUACGUUCCGGGCCUUGUACACACCGCCCGUCACACCACGAAAGCCAGUUGUACUCGAAGUCCCGAGCUAACCCCCAAGGGAGGUAA